rnacentral:lncRNA from 1 species
CACUAACAAAGCUAAGAGGCGUUAUAAGGGUGCUUGUCUGGAUGUGUUCCGAAGCACAGAUAUGAUUAUUGAUCUGACCGGGUGCGUCCCGAGAUUGAUAAAUGGGAUAAAAGAAAGCGAUCCGUCGGUGGCUAGAGGUCCGGGAUCAUAAGCAGCGAGUAACAAUCAAACGUCACAUGGCGCGCCACUUAAUGAGAAAAA